GACGAACGCUGGCGGCGUGCUUAACACAUGCAAGUCGAACGGUAAGGCCCUUCGGGGUACACGAGUGGCGAACGGGUGAGUAACACGUGGGUGAUCUGCCCUGCACUUCGGGAUAAGCCUGGGAAACUGGGUCUAAUACCGGAUAGGACCACUGCCUGCAUGGGUGGUGGUGGAAAGCUUUUGCGGUGUGGGAUGGGCCCGCGGCCUAUCAGCUUGUUGGUGGGGUGAUGGCCUACCAAGGCGACGACGGGUAGCCGGCCUGAGAGGGUGACCGGCCACCCUGGGACAGGGAUACGGCACGGACUCCUACGGGUGGGAGCGGUGGAGAAGAUUGCGCAAUGGGCGCAAGCCUGAUGCAGCGGCGCCGCGUGAGGGAUGACGGCCUUCCGGUUGUAAACCUCUUUCAGCACCGACGAAGCGCAAGUGACGGUAGGUGCAGAAGAAGGACCGGCCAACUACGUGCCAGCAGCCGCCGUAA
rnacentral:rRNA from 1 species